rnacentral:rRNA from 1 species
GUUUAUGGCCCAUGACACCCUGAACCAAGCCCGAUCUUGUCGUAACUCGAAAGCUAAGCAGGAUCAGGCCUGGUUAGUAACUGGAUGGGAGACCACCUAGGAAGAUCAGAUGCUGUAGGCA